UGAACCGGAGAAAUCAGGCAGUUUUCGUUAAAAAAAAAAAAAUAUCACCGAUGACUUCUCGCGUACAAGGAGCAAGCCGACGGCCGUCAAGGAGCCAGCCAACUUGUUUUAAAGUGCAAAAAAGAAAUGUGUUUGUUUAGGUCGCCAGCUGGACGACUAGCGACGGGCUGGCCACCGCGAAUGCAGAGAGAGAAACGACUCCGGGGAAAUACAUUCUGAGAGGAUCCAGACAGUCAUGUCUCUCUCACCUCAUCCCCGAGAGCACACCAGACCAGGAAGUGGCUCCAGAUACGUCACUCCCGACCAACCAAAACACCAGCUGCCAACUCCGCCCUCCACCGGUCGCCCCACCCCGCCCCUCUCUUCUCCACUCCCCCGUACUCCAGACCUCCGAGCGGACAGAGGGUGGACACAGCCUCAAAGCUCAUAUUUCUAAGACUGCUGACAGAGGAGAGCCAAUGGGAGAGGUCCGCCUGACAUUCUGAUAAAAAACAGCCCAGACACAAGCUGUAGGACUGCAGCAGAGGGAAUCGCUCUCUCCUUCCCCUCUUGUUCUCCCCCUCUCCUGUUCUCUCAACCCCUUUUUCCUCCUCUCUUCAUUUUUUCAGUCUGCUCUUCUGCCUUUUGUUUUAAUUCCAGUCCAAUCAUGAGACGCGUUCCGCAUAAGGUUUUAAUUUCAAGCUUGCCGCCGGAGUCUGCUCAGAGACUUGCAUGCACAAAUUCACACAAGAAUGCAUAUGCAUACACUGAACCGCAGAUCCUUAUUCAUACCAUGCACACACUCACUUCAUUCUCUCACAUCACAAAUACACACUGUUCUGUGUUACAACGCUACGUGCAUAUUUUAUGCGUGUGCUCUGUGGCUACAUUUUAUCGUUUAAACAUGGUUCCCAUGAGAGCAUGUAUCUCCAUCCAGAAACAUUAAUAAUCGCACACAUUCAUAAAAGGCAGACACAUCACUAGACAAAUUACAGAAAAAAUCCCAACAGGCUAUAUUUUUGAUCCUGCAGUCAUAAUAUAUUCGACAGUUUAUGACACACCAGCUGAAUUUAUAGGAUCAUCAAAUGAUUCCUUCUUCUCAAAAUCAAUGUUUUGCCUCACUCUUAAACACAGAGCCCCUCUCCAAGUGCAUCAUCUUAACAUUUAAUCAUGUGGAAUCAACCGAACAAAUAAGAUCUGAGGGGAAGCCAGAUAUUUCAUGACAGCUGUGAGGCAAAAUGCAGAUCUUGAUUUUAUAUCAUCAAUCCCCAGACUCACCAUAGAGAAUAAGACAUUCAUUAUUUGCUGUGAUGUGAAAUGACUAAUGAGUAAGGUUCUGUCUUUUUUUUUUUGUAUUGAUUACGAAUACUCAAUCCUCCUCCACAGUCUGGACUUUAUGCAUGUGAGUAAUCAAAAUGCAGACGGGGAGCUACUGCUGCUUCGCUCAAAGUGACAUUUCCAAAGGCAUGACUUGACAUAUGCAAAGGGACCUUCAUGAUGAUAAUUCUGACAGAGGAGCCAAAUGAAACCAUCUUCUAACUGCACAUAAAAGACGAAUGUUACACAGCAAGUCCCUGAGUCCUGCUGCUUCAAGGCAAAAUGUGCAAGUAGUAGCUGUGCGAUUGGGUUGAGACAUUCAUUUUGAGUUUUUCUUACUCUGAUUAGCUAUGUGAUUGAAGAGCUUAUCUAUUAAAUAACAGUGAAGAGUGGUAAAAACCCAGCUGAAUUGCUCAUCUCCAAGGUCUGCAGCCUUGCAAUGAAAAGAUAAGACAGACCGCAAAGCUGAAAGCAUGGUAGUCCAUAAGAGGAGGAGGGAUCCUUUUCAUUAACUUUCAUUAAGACUAAAGGGUGAAUUACCCUGAACGGAGGAGGUUCAACACAUAAAAGCUGUUAGGUAGGGUAAUAUAUGCACACUUGCAUUCUAUUUCACAUAAACACAAAGGUGCACAUAACAAACAUGAGGGAAGUGACUUAUAGAGAUUAUUUCCAUACAAACAUGCAUAUUAACUAUUAGCCUAUUUAGGACACUAAUACAGUGCAGACCUUGGGCACAUAAUGCUUCUUUCCUCCAUGUUCUGCUGUGCCUCUAUAUGGUACAUAAUAUAUUAUGUAGAGGCAGACUUUAGCAGGAAGAAACAGCAUUUGCAGAGGCUGGUAAAGGGCCACUGUUAGGGAUGGGGAAGGGGUUAUGUAGCCUCUGUCUGUAUAUGGGGGUGUUUUGUGUGCAUGCAUCCUUCUGUGUGUAUGUGUGUGUGCUGUAUGUGUGGAAAGAGGCAGGGCAGAGUGGAGCGUUGCAGUAGGACAGCAUUUCUGAGCUGUGGUAAUU